GACGAACGCUGGCGGCGUGCCUAAUACAUGCAAGUCGAACGCUGAAGGAGGAGCUUGCUUCUCUGGAUGAGUUGCGAACGGGUGAGUAACGCGUAGGUAACCUGCCUGGUAGCGGGGGAUAACUAUUGGAAACGAUAGCUAAUACCGCAUAAGAGUAGAUGUUGCAUGACAUUUGCUUAAAAGGUGCAAUUGCAUCACUACCAGAUGGACCUGCGUUGUAUUAGCUAGUUGGUGGGGUAACGGCUCACCAAGGCGACGAUACAUAGCCGACCUGAGAGGGUGAUCGGCCACACUGGGACUGAGACACGGCCCAGACUCCUACGGGAGGCAGCAGUAGGGAAUCUUCGGCAAUGGACGGAAGUCUGACCGAGCAACGCCGCGUGAGUGAAGAAGGGUUUCGGAUCGUAAAGCUCGGUUGUAAGAGAAGAACGAGUGUGAGAGUGGAAAGUUCACACUGUGACGGUAGCUUACCAGAAAGGGACGGCUAACUACGUG
rnacentral:rRNA from 1 species